UAGGGAAUCUUCGGCAAUGGGGGGAACCCUGACCGAGCAACGCCGCGUGAGUGAAGAAGGUUUUCGGAUCGUAAAGCUCUGUUGUUAAGGAAGAACGAGUGUGAGAAUGGAAAGUUCAUGCAGUGACGGUACUUAACCAGAAAGGGACGGCUAACUACGUGCCAGCAGCCGCGGUAAUACGUAGGUCCCGAGCGUUGUCCGGAUUUAUUGGGCGUAAAGCGAGCGCAGGCGGUUAGAAAAGUCUGAAGUGAAAGGCAGUGGCUCAACCAUUGUAGGCUUUGGAAACUGUUUAACUUGAGUGCAGAAGGGGAGAGUGGAAUUCCAUGUGUAGCGGUGAAAUGCGUAGAUAUAUGGAGGAACACCGGUGGCGAAAGCGGCUCUCUGGUCUGUAACUGACGCUGAGGCUCGAAAGCGUGGGGAGCGAACAGG
rnacentral:rRNA from 1 species